rnacentral:rRNA from 1 species
GAUGAACGCUGGCGGCGUGCCUAAUACAUGCAAGUCGAGCGAACAGACGAGGAGCUUGCUCCUCUGACGUUAGCGGCGGACGGGUGAGUAACACGUGGAUAACCUACCUAUAAGACUGGGAUAACUUCGGGAAACCGGAGCUAAUACCGGAUAAUAUAUUGAACCGCAUGGUUCAAUAGUGAAAGACGGUUUUGCUGUCACUUAUAGAUGGAUCCGCGCCGCAUUAGCUAGUUGGUAAGGUAACGGCUUACCAAGGCAACGAUGCGUAGCCGACCUGAGAGGGUGAUCGGCCACACUGGAACUGAGAAACGGUCCCGACUCCGACGGGGGGCAGCAGUAGGGAAUCUUCCGCAAUGGGCGAGAGCCUGACGGAGCAACGCCGCGGGAGUGAUGAAGGUCUUCGGAUCGGAAAACUCUGUUAGUAGGGAAGAACAAAUGUGUAAGUAACUAUGCACGUCUUGACGGUACCGAAUCAGAAAGCCACGGCUAACUACGUG